rnacentral:rRNA from 1 species
UAACUUAGUGGCAGACCGGGUGAGUAAUGUAUAGGAAUCUACCUAGUAGUACGGAAUAAUUGUUGGAAACGACAACUAAUACCGUAUACGCCCUACGGGGGAAAAAUUUAUUGCUAUUAGAUGAGCCUAUAUUAGAUUAGCUAGUUGGUGGGGUAAUAGCCUACCAAGGUAAUGAUCUAUAGCUGAUCUGAGAGGAUGAUCAGCCACACUGGAACUGAGAUACGGUCCAGACUCCUACGGGAGGCAGCAGUGGGGAAUAUUGGACAAUGGGCGAAAGCCUGAUCCAGCCAUGCCGCAUGAGUGAAGAAGGCCUUUGGGUUGUAAAGCUCUUUUAGUGAGGAAGAUAAUGACGGUACUCACAGAAGAAGUCCUGGCUAACUCCGUGCCAGCAGCCGCGGUAAUACGGAGAGGGCUAGCGUUAUUCGGAAUUAUUGGGCGUAAAGGGCGCGUAGGCUGGUUAAUAAGUUAAAAGUGAAAUCCCGAGGCUUAACCUUGGAAUUGCUUUUAAAACUAUUAAUCUAGAGAUUGAAAGAGGAUAGGGGAAUUCCUGAUGUAGAGGUAAAAUUCGUAAAUAUUAGGAGGAACACCAGUGGCGAAGGCGUCUAUCUGGUUCAAAUCUGACGCUGAAGCGCGAAGGCGUGGGGAGCAAACAGGAUUAGAUACCCUGGUAGUCCACGCUGUAAACGAUGAAUGUUAAAUAUGGGGAGUUUACUUUCUGUAUUACAGCUAACGCGUUAAACAUUCCGCCUGGGGACUACGGUCGCAAGAUUAAAACUCAAAGGAAUUGACGGGGACCCGCACAAGCGGUGGAGCAUGUGGUUUAAUUCGAUGCAACGCGAAACCUUACCACUUCUGACAUGAAAAUAAACCCUUAUACA